rnacentral:piRNA from 1 species
UNGCCUGUUCUUACCUCAAAGAUGCCUGC